UUGUGAUCCACCCACCUUGGCCUCCCAAAGUGCUGGGAUUACAGGCAUGAGCCACCGCGCCCGGCCUAAUUUUUGUAUUUUUAGUAGAGACGGAGUUUCACCAUAUUGGCCAGGCUGGUCCCAAACUCCUGACCUCAGGUGAUCUGCCUGCCUCGGCCUCCCAAAGUGCUGGGAUUACAGGCGUGAGCCACUAUGCCCGGCACUAUGUGGGAAGAUUCUAAAGUGCAUUCCAGAGGACAGGGCUCCUGGCUGGUCUGCGUCUUGUCUAGAGGCAGCCUGGGAAUCCGGAUGAAGACGAGUGGGCAGGGCCUGCAGAGAAUCCAAGUGCAUGAGGGCUUGGGCGAAAGCAGCGUCCGGGAAGGGAGGCCAGGCGGAGCAUUGCAGCAUCUUCCAGCCCUACAGGCAUGCGUUCCAGGGAUUGUGAACCUAAGCCAGGGACAUAGUCAUGAAGAGCUAUUCCCUGCAUCCACUGUGGCUUCACCCCAGGAGGGCACCGAAGGAGUAACACUGGUGCUCAGCAGGCUCUCCCCAUGUCACAGAGGAUUUGGUGAUCAAAGCCAGUGUCCCUCAGAAUUUUUCUUCACAGUGCUGAUCAUGGUGGGUGUGAUGGUUAAUUUUAGGUGUCAGCCUGACUGGGCUCAGGGAUGCCGAGGUAGCUGAUGGGUCGGCCUGUAAGGGAUGAGUCCACACAAGCAUUUACACAGGCAGAAGGAGGGCAAGGUCAUUACAUCCCUUUUGGACACAGUAAAUGUCCAGUUGUCCUUUUCCCUGCCACUGUAUAGUAAGAUGGUGGUCAGGACCUGGGGGUGCCAAUGACUGAUCUCAACCAUACCUCUAAGCUGAGAAGGGAAAGGUCACUGAUUAUUACUUAAGCCAGACUUAAAGAACAGUCCCAAAGCUUCUGACAGCCAAGACAAUGUCCUCUU
rnacentral:lncRNA from 1 species